UACAGAGGUCUCAAGCGUUGUUCGGAUUCAUUGGGCGUAAAGGGUGCGUAGGCGGCGCGGUAAGUCGGGUGUGAAAGUCUUGGAGCUUAACUCCGAAACUGCAUUCGAUACUGCCGUGCUUGAGGACUGGAGAGGAGACUGGAAUUUACGGUGUAGCGGUGAAAUGCGUAGAUAAUCGUAAGGAAGACCAGUGGCGAAGG
rnacentral:rRNA from 1 species